rnacentral:rRNA from 1 species
AGCGAACGCUGGCGGCAGGCCUAACACAUGCAAGUCGAACGAACCCUUCGGGGUUAGUGGCGGACGGGUGAGUAACACGUGGGAACGUGCCUUUAGGUUCGGAAUAACUCAGGGAAACUUGUGCUAAUACCGAAUGUGCCCUUCGGGGGAAAGAUUUAUCGCCUUUAGAGCGGCCCGCGUCUGAUUAGCUAGUUGGUGAGGUAAUGGCUCAUCAAGGCUACGAUCAGUAGCUGGUCUGAGAGGAUGACCAGCCACAUUGGGACUGAGACACGGCCCAAACUCCCACGGGAGGCAGCAGUGGGGAAUCUUGCGCAAUGGGCGAAAGCCUGACGCAGCCAUGCCGCGUGGAUGAUGAAGGUCUUAGGAUUGUAAAAUCCUUUCACCGGUGAAGAUAAUGACUGUAGCCGGAGAAGAAGCCCCGGCUAACUUCGUGCCAGCAGCCGCAGUAACAC